GCCGCCGUUCUUGUUGUUCCCCAGCUCAGGAAUAGGGUUAUUCGGAUUCAUCUUUGCAUCUGGCUCUGAAGGAUCCAUCACCCGAUUUAUUGCGUAGGAAGGUAAACCCUAGAACAUCCCCUUUGUAUUUGAAAUCCCUUAACGGACUCAGCGUGUUCAUGAAAACUCAGGAUUCCUGGUGUUUCCGUUCAUGUCGCUUGGGUGGAGAAGCGCGAUGCUUUGUGUCCCAAAAACACACACGCUGCAACCCGUUGUAGAAGAAUCGAGCUUUAGGAGUGUAUUAAAACAAGGUGUUGGGCAAGUUCUCUGCUGACCCUGCAGUGAAGACAGCAGCCAGCUCCAGCCGCUCGGGUCCUGGAGCAGCAGCUCCCAUGAAGCACUGAUGAUGAUGAGAGAUUUUGCCCUAUUCCAUCCGUUUGCAUUCUAAAGAGUUUAGUAACAGCACAGGUUGUUCUCCGCCUCCAUUCCCCCCCCUACAGCCACAGUGAGCUGGAAGCCAGAAUUUCUGCUGCAAACGCCUGAGCUCUAAGAACACAAACUUGUUUGAGCUGAGACCAUAUUUGGAAGAGAUCUGGGUCAAGAAAAAUAAUCAAAGGAAAGUGCAUUCCUGGAGCGUCACGUGAGGAGGAGCGCGCGCGGGGCCCGCGCACGACCCUCGAGUAGCUCGCUGUGAGGACUGUGCCAAGGGCUGGUUUUACACCAGUGUGCACUCUCAGAAGAAAUUCAACAGCCUCUUUGAGGGCAUUUGGGCAACUUUAGAAGAGCCUUUCUUAAUUGAGGUGUUCAGCAAGAUGCCAUUGAUGGCAAGGGUUGAUGGCACUAAAAUGCAUCCUGGCAGGCUCUGCAGGCUCCACGCUCACAAACUGACAUACCUGUCUCUUCCUGUCCCCAGUUCUGCUGCAGUAACUGCUCUUACAAACAUAAACACAUUUGAAGGACUAAAAUACCAAAGUGCACUCUCCCCCCAAGACUCCAGCAUUCUUUUACUUCAUUGUUUUAGGAAUAUCCUAAAUCCAGCCUUUGGUGUUUAUUUCAUAUUCAGCUAUUACAACUUAGCAAAGCUUUGCUUAAAAAUCUUACUUUUUGUGUCUUGCACUUGGAAAGCUUGAGUCAGAAAAGCUCCUACAGAUGGCACUUUGAGCGUCAGAAUCAUUUACUCAAUUAGCAGCCAAAUGCAGACUGAACAGACUGCACUACUUAAUUGUGCAAGUAAAAGCCUAAGCAGGAAGGCCAGGGAAAAGCUCUAGAACGUGCCAGGCUGGGACCUACACAUUACAUUUUAGUUAAAGACUAACAUGUAAAUUAGGCCAUAAGCUGCUUAUUAAUGAAACAAGGGGUGGCAACGAUGUGCAAUACAGUUAGGGUAAUACAAAAUUCUAAACUGUGACUCUGCCUCCGCCUCCAGCCAUUCCCAGUGUCUUCCAGAUUCACAGAUCUUCACCUAGACAGUUCUCUCCUCCUUCACUGUCACCUGAAAGUGCCAGUGUCCUGCUCCCUGAGAACAGCAAGACCCCCAGAGUAUUGCCCCUUGCCACUGCAUGGUGACAACUCUGCAUUACUGUGACACACAAGUAGUUAAUGAUCCAGGAUCAAAUACUUGUAUCACUUACCCACCCAAAGUUAAUUUAAGAGUUUGUUCUCCUCUGGCUUAUAUACAUUUCACUCCUGUUUUCAUGUAUCCAGACACCUUCCCUGUGACUUUCUUAACUGAGUCUGAGCUCGCUGCAUUUCUAGCAGAAAAACAGAAGCACUCCCUACUGUACACGUCACCUCACUCCAGACAGUACCAGGUUAACUGCCAUGGGAGAAAAACACAGAAGCAACAUAAGUGCAGAAAAGAGAUGAGUUAUUCAGAAAGACAGUUUCUGAAAAAUAUACAUUGAAAUUAUUUUUAUUUUUGCUGCAAUUAAAAAAACAUAGUAAUAUUGACAUUGCAUUUAAAAACCCCAGGAAGUUAAAGAUUAUACAUUGUUGCAUCUCUGAAAUCCAACAGUGCAAAGCUGGAAAUCACAAAAAUGUCUCCAUUGUGCCUUUUCUAGGAGACACCAAUACAUAUAUAUAUGAACAUUUUGAAACAAGGUUUAAAAGAAGUGUCAGACUCUCCAAACUUAAAAGUGCUCUUCACUAAAUACAGUGAAAUCUGUCACUCUUCUGGGGGGACACUCAAAAAGUUAGACAAUUCAACAAACAAGUUGUAUGAAACAUAUGAAAAAACAGCUCUUAAUGGAAAGAAACCUGAUGUAUUUAAAGGGAACCACAAGGCUUUAGUUUGAAAUCUCUGGUUUUAAUUUUGAGAAGUGUUAUUUGUGUGUUUCUUCUCUUUGUUCUACUCAGUGUGUUAAUAUUGGCAAGUAUUGGGUGUUCUUAUUCUAAAUGUAAGUUGGCGUAAUCAUUGCUUUCCUUUCCUGUACUGCAAAUAAGGUACAAUGACAAUAGAGUAACUGACAGUUGUGUGCAAACAGAAAUAGUCAUUUAAAUCACCUGAAGUUGGGAAAUAGAUGUUGUGAAGUUACACAGCCAUGAUGCAGGUUGUACGAUUGCUCUUCACCAGGGUUAAAGCACUAUAUACAGAGCUGUUUUAAAAUGACACAUUUCUUCCCAAUGUGUCAGGUAAGAAAAGCUUUCUACAAAAGUCCUUUUGAAAGCCAUCAUCUUGACAGUCUUGCAGCUGCUACAACAGACGAUUCAACUUGCUACCACUUGGGCUCCAGAUAAGCAAACAGGGAAAUUAAAUGCUUAAGAGUAGUAAGUGUCCAUCGUGGGCACUAAUGGUAACGGGGAUGAGACCUCAAAAAGAAAGGUCUUGCCUGUCCUAGUAGCUUAUUGACUGCAAUGAUAGUAUCUGUGGAACUCACUCAUAAAUAGCAUUAUUCUUUUUUACUUAAAGCCAUGUCCUAACAGUAUUAAAGAUGACAACCCUGGGAAAAAAAAAAAAU